CUCCUUGAUUCAGCGGCGGACGGGUGAGUAAUGCCUAGGAAUCUGCCUGGUAGUGGGGGACAACGUUUCGAAAGGAACGCUAAUACCGCAUACGUCCUACGGGAGAAAGCAGGGGACCUUCGGGCCUUGCGCUAUCAGAUGAGCCUAGGUCGGAUUAGCUAGUUGGUGGGGUAAUGGCUCACCAAGGCGACGAUCCGUAACUGGUCUGAGAGGAUGAUCAGUCACACUGGAACUGAGACACGGUCCAGACUCCUACGGGAGGCAGCAGUGGGGAAUAUUGGACAAUGGGCGAAAGCCUGAUCCAGCCAUGCCGCGUGUGUGAAGAAGGUCUUCGGAUUGUAAAGCACUUUAAGUUGGGAGGAAGGGCAGUAAGUUAAUACCUUGCUGUUUUGACGUUACCGACAGAAUAAGCACCGGCUAACUCUGUGCCAGCAGCCGCGGUAAUACAGAGGGUGCAAGCGUUAAUCGGAAUUACUGGGCGUAAAGCGCGCGUAGGUGGUUCGUUAAGUUGGAUGUGAAAGCCCCGGGCUCAACCUGGGAACUGCAUCCAAAACUGGCGAGCUAGAGUACGGUAGAGGGUGGUGGAAUUUCCUGUGUAGCGGUGAAAUGC
rnacentral:rRNA from 2 species